AUAAGUGCCAUCUUUUCUUUCCAGGACCAAAGAAAAAGCAGCAGGAAAAAGGCGGCUAAAAAAAAAAAAAAAAAAUCAGAAACCAAAAACAGGUCUCGGGCUCGCCGGGCGCACCAGGCUGUUGGGCCCUCUUGGGGCCAGUGCUGGGUGCUUGAAGAGGGUGUGAGAAAGAAGUCCUCUCCUCUGCUUGGCUUGGGCAAGGUCAGUUUCUGUGGCUUCUGCAGCCUCCCACCUUUUUUUCUUCCUGAGCUAGUAGGGACUUGUCUUUGGGUUGCUGGAACACAGACACCUCUCUUUGACACUGGGUUAAAUAACACUGCUGGGUGGAUUUUGUGAAAUCAGAAUCCUGCACAUAGGUGAAGCAAACAAACGUAGACAACAUGAGGAACCUUUAAUUAUUAACUCAGGCUGGGUGAUUCUGAGGCAUUCAAAUUCCAGGAUUUUUGUUUUCUCAGCCGUGAGCUGUUUUGGGGACCAAAUUCUAGAAAAAAAAUGACCUUUUCCUAUGGUAAAUCAUUAGUGCUAAAUAGGACCCGAGUUAUUUAGCCCAAAACAUACUGUAGAGCAAGAAUGCUUUCCUCAGAAAGAUCUCUAGUCUGACUUGAACAAUUCCAAUGAGGAGAGCCCGAGCUGCACAAGUCACCCUGGUUUCUUAUUAGAUUAUUCUAAACACAUUUUAAAAAGUAUUGUUGGGGGGGCAGUACUGUGGCAUAGUGGAUAAUCACAUAUGGACGCCAGUUCGAAUCCUGGCUUCUCCACUUCCCAUCCAGCUCCCUGCUAAAGUGUCUGGGAAAGGAGUGGGGGAUGGUCCAAGUGCUUGGGCCCCUGCCACCCACAUGGGAGACCUGUAGGAAGCUCCUGGCUUCCGUUUGGCCUAGCUUCUGCCUUUAGGGCCAUUUGGGAAGUGAAGCAGUGGAUGGAAGCACUCUCUCUCUCCUGCUCCCUCCCUCCCCAUAACUCUUUAAAAAACUAAUGUCGCUCCCUCACCCCAAAACCUGCAGCUCUUCUUCAGUUCCCAUUUCACCAUCCACGCGGUUGAGCAAGCCGACUUUGCUGCUUUACCAUUGUGCUGCAUCUCAAUCCCUGGCCAUCCGCAAAUCAUUCCCAUCCUCCGCCCCCUAAAACAAGAGGAUCACUUGUCUGGAGAACUGGAAUACCACUUACCUCGUUUCCCAAACAUAUUCUACCUUCUCCUCCUUCCCUGUGGGACAUUCAGAGCUGUAAGGCGUAGUGAUCAUAUCACCCAGCUCAGGCUUCUGAUGGUUCUGAAGUCUCAAACACUGUAGCCUGGCUUUUACAACCCUGGACAUUCCAGGCCUUUUUCAAAAUCUUUCAGUUUCAAUUCUCACUAUACAACUUCAAGGAAACACCAGUUGCAGGUGGGUUUCCCUAUCUCUAAAAUGCCAUGCCUAGGGUCAGUGUUUAGUGCUAUGGUUGACACUGCUUGGGACACCUGUAUAACAUAUUAGAGUGCCUGGGUUUGAGCCCUGGUUUUGCUUCCGAUCCAGCUUUCUGCUACCGUGUACCCUGGGGGGCAGCAGGUAAGUACUUCGGUCCCUGCCUCGUGGUAGAUCUGGAUUGAGUUUCUUGCUCCUGGCUUCAGCCAGGCCCAGUACUGACUAUUGGAGGCAUUUGGGGGGUAAAUCAGUGUCUGUCUGUAUCUCUCUGCCUUUCAAAUAAAAUGAAAAUAAAUAAAAAAUAUUAAAACCUC
rnacentral:lncRNA from 1 species